rnacentral:rRNA from 1 species
UUACGCACUCCUACGGGAGGCAGCAGUGGGGAAUAUUGCACAAUGGGCGCAAGCCUGAUGCAGCCAUGCCGCGUGUAUGAAGAAGGCCUUCGGGUUGUAAAGUACUUUCAGCAGUGAGGAAGGUGGGUAUGUUAAUAGCAUACUCAUUUGACGUUAGCUGCAGAAGAAGCACCGGCUAACUCCGUGCCAGCAGCCGGCGGUAAUACGGAGGGUGCGAGCGUUAAUCGGAAUUACUGGGCGUAAAGCGCAUGCAGGUGGUUUGUUAAGUCAGAUGUGAAAGCCCGGGGCUCAACCUCGGAAUUGCAUUUGAAACUGGCAAACUAGAGUACUGUAGAGGGGGUAGAAUUUCAGGUGUAGCGGUGAAAUGCGUAGAGAUCUGAAGGAAUACCGGUGGCGAAGGCGGCCCCCUGGACAGAUACUGACACUCAGAUGCGAAAGCGUGGGGAGCAAACAGGAUUAGAUACCCUGGUAG